rnacentral:lncRNA from 1 species
GGGUUUUUGGCUUUGUUUAGGACUCCUAAUCCUUCUCUAAUCAAGGUUUAAAGUCCGAUUAACCCUUUAAAAGGGCUGUGCGUGAAACAGAGAGGGGUGUGCUCGGGAUUCUCAUCGUACAGCCGUACGAACCAGCGUGAAGAGAGAGAGAGGUGCGGGCGUGCUGUGAGAGAAGGAGCAGGAGGCUUUUGGACAGCGGUCGUCAGGCUCUUCAGGGGUUCAGGGGGGUCUCCAAGAGAGAGAGAGCUUUUGUGAGGGAAACUUCAUGUGAGAGAGAAUUGGGUGUACAAGGGUUGAGGGUGAGGUCUCCUUUUGUAAAAUUUUCUUUUCAUAGUGAAGUUUGCAUGCCCCGUGGAGGCGAGCCCUUUUGUGGCUGAUCCACGUAUUUUUGAUUGUUUUUUCUUUUGUUUUG